UACGUAGGAGGCAAGCGUUGUCCGGAAUUACUGGGUGUAAAGCGCGUGUAGGCGGCAGGCCAAGUCUGUGGUGAAAUCGCUCGGCUCAACUGGGCGGGGUCCAUGGAAACUGGUCAGCUAGAGGACGGUAGAGGUGAGUGGAAUUCCCGGGUGUAGUGGUGAAAUGCGUAGAGAUCAGGAAGAACACCGGUGGCGAAAAGCGCUCUGCUAGGCCGCAACUGACACUGAGGGACGAAAGCUAGGGGAGCGAAUGGG
rnacentral:rRNA from 1 species